rnacentral:rRNA from 1 species
UCGGUCAGUCUNUCUUAAAAGUUCGGGGCUUAACCCCGUGAUGGGAUGGAAACUGCCAAUCUAGAGUAUCGGAGAGGAAAGUGGAAUUCCUAGUGUAGCGGUGAAAUGCGUAGAUAUUAGGAAGAACACCAGUGGCGAAGGCGACUUUCUGGACGAAAACUGACGCUGAGGCGCGAAAGCCAGGGGAGCGAACGGGAUUAGAUACCCCGGUAGUCCUGGCCGUAACCGAUGGGUACUAGGUGUAGGAGGUAUCGACCCCUUCUGUGCCGGAGUUAACGCAAUAAGUACCCCGCCUGGGGAGUACGACCGCAAGGUUGAAACUCAAAGGAAUUGACGGGGGCCCGCACAAGCGGUGGAGUAUGUGGUUUAAUUCGACGCAACGCGAAGAACCUUACCAGGUCUUGACAUUGAUGGACAGAACCAGAGAUGGUUCCUCUUCUUCGGAAGCCAGAAAACAGGUGGUGCACGGUUGUCGUCAGCUCGUGUCGUGAGAUGUUGGGUUAAGUCCCGCAACGAGCGCAACCCCUAUCUUAUGUUGCCAGCACGUAAAGGUGGGAACUCAUGAGAGACUGCCGCAGACAAUGCGGUGGAAGGCGGGGAUGACGUCAAAUCAUCAUGCCCCUUAUGACCUGGGCUACACACGUACUACAAUGGGAGUUAAUAGACGGAAGCGAGAUCGCGAGAUGGAGCAAACCCGAGAAACACUCUCUCAGUUCGGAUCGUAGGCUGCAACUCGCCUACGUGAAGUCGGAAUCGCUAGUAAUCGCAGGUCAGCAUACUGCGGUGAAUACGUUCCCGGGCCUUGUACAC